rfam:Salmo salar isolate Sally breed double haploid chromosome ssa01, whole genome shotgun sequence.
UGCAUUCACUACUGUAAGUCGCUCUGGAUAAGAGCGUCUGCUAAAUGACUUUAA